UCAAUUUUAAAAAAAGGGCCCGCAAGGGUCUUACAAACCAUGUGCACUUAACCAAUUGUUUUUGGGUUAGGGAUUUAUUUCUCUAGCCCAACCUUUUCUAUAUAAACAUUUUUACUGUAUAGUCUGAUUAAUCUGUUAUUUAAAAUUUUUAA
rnacentral:misc_RNA from 1 species